GAGUGGAGAGUGGCGCACGGGUGAGUAACACGUGAGCAACCUGCCGGGAAGCCCGGGAUAGCCCGGCGAGGGGAGGAUUAAUACCGGAUGUGGCCACCCUGCGAUUGCAGGGGAAGCUAAAGGAUUAUUCACUUCCCGAGGGGCUCGCGGUCCAUCAGCUUGUUGGUGAGGGUAACGGCCCACCAAUGCGACAACGGGUAGCUGGUCUGAGAGGAUGGUCAGCCACACUGGAACUGAGACACGGUCCAGACACCGAGGGGUGGCAGCAGUCGAGAAUCAUUCGCAAUGGGGGAAACCCUGACGAUGCGACGCCGCGUGGAGGAUGAAGGCCUUAGGGUUGUAAACUCCUGUCAAGAGGGAAUAAGCAAGUGAAGGUACCUCUAGAGGAAGGGGCGGCUAAUUCCGUGCCAGCAGCCGCGGUAACACGGAAGCCCCGAGCGUUGUUCGGAUUCAUUGGGCGUAAAGGGUGCGUAGGCGGCGCGGAAAGUCCGGCGUGAAAGGCAGAGGCUCAACCUCUGGACUGCGUUGGAUACUUCCGUGCUUGAGGACUGGAGGGGAGACUGGAAUUCACGGUGUAGCAGUGAAAUGCGUAGAUAUCGUGAGGAAGACCGGUGGCGAAGGCGAGUCUCUGGACAGAUCCUGACGCUGAGGCACGAAGGCUGGGGGAGCCGAACAGGAUUAGAUACCCUGGUAGUCCCAGCAGUAAACGAUGUGAGCUUGAUGUGCGGGGAUUCGACCCCUUCCGUGUCGAAGCUAACGCGAUAAGCUCACCGCCUGAGGAGUACGGCGCAAGGCUAAACCUCAACGAAAUUGAGGGGGACCCGCACAAGCGGUGGAGUAUGU
rnacentral:rRNA from 1 species